GACGGAGGAUGCAAGUGUUAUCCGGAAUCACUGGGCGUAAAGCGUCUGUAGGUGGUUUAAUAAGUCAACUGUUAAAUCUUGAGGCUCAACCUCAAAAUCGCAGUCGAAACUAUUAGGCUAGAGUAUAGUAGGGGUAAAGGGAAUUUCCAGUGGAGCGGUGAAAUGCGUAGAGAUUGGAAAGAACACCGAUGGCGAAGGCACUUUACUGGGCUAUUACUAACACUCAGAG
rnacentral:rRNA from 1 species